rnacentral:rRNA from 1 species
AGAGUUUGAUCCUGGCUCAGAACGAACGCUGGCGGCGUGCCUAACACAUGCAAGUCGAACGGCAGCACGGGGCAACCCUCGGUGGCGAGUGGCGAACGGGUGAGUAAUGCAUCGGAACGUAUCCUUGAGUGGGGGAUAACGCAGCGAAAGUUGUGCUAAUACCGCAUAAGCUCUGAGGAGGGAAGCGGGGGACCGAAAGGCCUCGCGCUGAAGGAGCGGCCGAUGUCCGAUUAGCUAGUUGGUGAGGUAAAGGCUUACCAAGGCGACGAUCGGUAGCUGGUCUGAGAGGAUGAUCAGCCACACUGGGACUGAGACACGGCCCAGACUCCUACGGGAGGCGAC